UACGGGAGGCAGCAGUGAGGAAUAUUGGACAAUGGAGGCAACUCUGAUCCAGCCAUGCCGCGUGCAGGAAGACUGCCCUAUGGGUUGUAAACUGCUUUUAUACAGGAAGAAACCUUGGUACGUGUACCAAGCUGACGGUACUGUAAGAAUAAGGAUCGGCUAACUCCGUGCCAGCAGCCGCGGUAAUAC
rnacentral:rRNA from 1 species